AUUGAACGCUGGCGGCAGGCUUAACACAUGCAAGUCGAGCGGUAACAUUUCUAGCUUGCUAGAAGAUGACGAGCGGCGGACGGGUGAGUAAUACUUAGGAAUCUACCUAGUAGUGGGGGAUAGCUCGGGGAAACUCGAAUUAAUACCGCAUACGACCUACGGGAGAAAGGGGGCAACUUGUUGCUCUCGCUAUUAGAUGAGCCUAAGUCGGAUUAGCUAGAUGGUGGGGUAAAGGCCUACCAUGGCGACGAUCUGUAGCUGGUCUGAGAGGAUGAUCAGCCACACCGGGACUGAGACACGGCCCGGACUCCUACGGGAGGCAGCAGUGGGGAAUAUUGGACAAUGGGGGAAACCCUGAUCCAGCCAUGCCGCGUGUGUGAAGAAGGCCUUUUGGUUGUAAAGCACUUUAAGCAGUGAAGAAGACUCUUCGGUUAAUACCCGGAGACGAUGACAUUAGCUGCAGAAUAAGCACCGGCUAACUCUGUGCCAGCAGCCGCGGUAAUACAGAGGGUGCAAGCGUUAAUCGGAAUUACUGGGCGUAAAGCGAGCGUAGGUGGCUUGAUAAGUCAGAUGUGAAAUCCCCGGGCUUAACCUGGGAACUGCAUCUGAUACUGUUAGGCUAGAGUAGGUGAGAGGAAGGUAGAAUUCCAGGUGUAGCGGUGAAAUGCGUAGAGAUCUGGAGGAAUACCGAUGGCGAAGGCAGCCUUCUGGCAUCAUACUGACACUGAGGCUCGAAAGCGUGGGUAGCAAACAGG
rnacentral:rRNA from 1 species